rnacentral:lncRNA from 1 species
CAUUAUGGAAGACAUGAGUCCAGUGAGUCUCAGAUGCUGUGUUUGAGAGCUCAAUUACAUGUUGAUGCUCUCUCUUGCUGACUGAGGUGUGAGAUCACCCACACAAGAGGGGGAGAGAUGGAGAUAUUUUGGGCCUACUGCCUCUGAGUGUGUGUGUGUGUGUGUGUGUGUGUGUGUGUGUGUGUGUGUGUGUGUGUGUGUGUGUGUUCCCUUCCUGUGUCCCCCACUGUUUAAGCUUACUCUCCUUACUGAGAGUGAAGGAGUCAACACUGACCAUUACAACUGCAUUUCUGAAUCGUACAGAGCAACCCGGUCCCAGUAGUCAACGCUGCCCAUUGGCAUUCAGAGUUGUAGCACACAUAAUUAUGAUGAAAUGAUAAUACUGGAAAGCACAAAAAGUUGCAAGUAAACCUGUGUGCUGCCAGAUACAUGUUUAAUGUGUAUUUCAUUUUUGUAAAUACUGAAGAUCUGACUGAUAAUCAAGAGGUGUCAUGUCAAGGUGGAAUGUUGGAUAAAGAAUCACACUCAUCACAUUCGUUGUUACUCUAGAACUCUGAUGCAGCCUUUCUACUUCUGCUAAUUGAUCGGUUGCCAAAAACAAGAUUUACAUGGAAAGAUCCAGCGAUGACAUCAUAAAUUAAUUCCUGUGAUAUUCUAGAAUUUUGACAAUGUAUAUAGACGUGUGUUACAAUGACUCCUGACAAAUCCUCUUCUUCUCUGCCUAUAAUCCCCAAACUGGGCAAGAAAGAAAACAUUCCACUUCGGUCAGGAUGGCUGCCCUCAGUUGUCCACAUUGUGAAGAAGACAUUCUGGGUGUCUGAAGUGUCUGCACCAAGGGCCCAGCCUAUUAAAGACAGCCUGGAGCUGAAGGACAUCCAGUCUUACCUGGUGCUGGAUGUGUGGGAGCCUAACAUUGAGUCCCUUCAGAAGGGCAGUGUCCCUCUUGCUGCCUCCAGCCAACCUGGCCACGGCCAGAGCUGGAGAAGGGAGAGUCACCCUGACCCCUACAGCUGCUACUCCAGGCCCAGCCAUGGUGAGAGACAUAGGGGGAGAGAGGUGAUGUGGCCUGGCUUCUCUGACGAGAGAAACAGUCACCAGAGCCAUGACUUACUGCCAGUGCAGCAUGAAGUACUCCAGAGAGAACCAGCAGGACCUCUUCUCCCAGCUGUCCAAGUCCCGUAAGAGGAGCAGGGAGAGUGGGGAGGACCCUCAGGCCACCCCAGACUCUAAGAGUAGCAGAGCUGAGCACCCCACCCACAGCAUUGUCCGCACAAGGCACUAAAAUGACAG